rnacentral:rRNA from 1 species
AACGUAGGAGGCAAGCGUUAUCCGGAGUAACUGGGCGUAAAGGGCGGGUAGGUGGUUGUGUAAGUUGGUUAUGAAAGCUCCUGGCUAAACUGGGAGAGGUUGACCAAGACUGCAGAACUUGAGUGGAGAAGAGGUAAACGGAAUUCCGCGUGUAGUGGUGAAACGCGUAGAGAUGCGGAAGAACACCAGUGGCGAAGGCGGUUUACUGGUCUCCAACUGACACUGAGCCGCGAAAGCAUGGGUAGCGAACGGG